rnacentral:rRNA from 1 species
UACGUAGGGGUCUAGCGUUGUCCGGAAUCAUUGGGCGUAAAGAGCUCGUAGGCGGUCUGUCGCGUCGGCUGUGAAAACCCGGGGCUCAACCCCGGGCCUGCAGUCGAUACGGGCAGACUAGAGUGUGGUAGGGGAGACUGGAAUUCCUGGUGUAGCGGUGAAAUGCGCAGAUAUCAGGAGGAACACCGGUGGCGAAGGCGGGUCUCUGGGCCAUAACUGACGCUGAGGAGCGAAAGCGUGGGGAGCGAACAGG